rnacentral:rRNA from 1 species
GAUGAACGCUAGCGAUAGGCUUAACACAUGCAGGUCGAGGGGCAGCAUGGUCUUAGCUUGCUAAGACUGAUGGCGACCGGCGCACGGGUGCGUAACGCGUAUGCAACUUGCCUCACAGAGGGGGAUAACCCGUCGAAAGACGGACUAAUACCGCGUACACUUGGGAUAGGGCAUCCUGACCCAAGGAAAUGAAAUUCGCUGUGAGAUAGGCAUGCGUCCCAUUAGCUAGUUGGUGAGGCAACGGCUCACCAAGGCGACGAUGGGUAGGGGAACUGAGAGGUUGAACCCCCACACUGGUACUGAGACACGGACCAGACUCCUACGGGAGGCAGCAGUUAGGAAUAUUGGUCAAUGGGCGAGAGCCUGAACCAGCCAAGUCGCGUGAAGGAUGACUGUCUUAUGGAUUGUAAACUUCUUUUAUACGGGAAUAACAAGAGCCACGUGUGGCUCCCUGCAUGUACCGUAUGAAUAAGCAUCGGCUAACUCCGUG